rnacentral:tRNA from 1 species
UUAGGGUGUAGCCAAGUGGUAAGGCCACGGGUUUUGGUCUCGUUAUUCGAAGGUUCGAAUCCUUCUGCCCUAGA